rnacentral:rRNA from 1 species
AGUGAACGCUGGCGGUAGGCCUAACACAUGCAAGUCGAACGGCAGCACAGUAAGAGCUUGCUCUUACGGGUGGCGAGUGGCGGACGGGUGAGGAAUACAUCGGAAUCUACUUUUUCGUGGGGGAUAACGCAGGGAAACUUACGCUAAUACCGCAUACGACCUACGGGUGAAAGCAGGGGAUCUUCGGACCUUGCGCGAUUGAAUGAGCCGAUGUCGGAUUAGCUAGUUGGCGGGGUAAAGGCCCACCAAGGCGACGAUCCGUAGCUGGUCUGAGAGGAUGAUCAGCCACACUGGAACUGAGACACGGUCCAGACUCCUACGGGAGGCAGCGGUGGGGAAUAUUGGACAAUGGGCGCAAGCCUGAUCCAGCCAUACCGCGUGGGUGAAGAAGGCCUUCGGGUUGUAAAGCCCUUUUGUUGGGAAAGAAAAGCAGCAGGUUAAUACCCCGCUGUUCUGACGGUACCCAAAGAAUAAGCACCGGCUAACUUCGUG